rnacentral:rRNA from 1 species
UACAGAGGUCUCAAGCGUUGUUUCGGAUUCAGUUGGGCGUAAAGGGUGCGUAGGCGGCGCGGUAAGUCGGGGUGUGAAAUCUCGGAGCUUAACUCCGAAACUGCAUUCGAUACUGCCGUGCUUGAGGACUGGAGAGGAGACGUGGAAUUUACGGUGUAGCGGUGAAAUGCGUAGAUAUCGUAAGGAAGACCAGUGGCGAAGGCGGGUCUCGUGGACAGUUCCAUGACGC